rnacentral:tRNA from 1 species
GGAGACGUGCGUGAGCGGCCGAAACGGCACGACUGGAAAUCGUGUGGCCCGGCAACGGGUCCAAGGGUUCAAAUCCCUUCGUCUCCG